AGGGUUCGAUUCUGGCUCAGAUUGAACGCUGGCGGAAUGCUUUACACAUGCAAGUUAAACGGCAGCACGGGUGCUUGCACCUGGUGGCGAGUGGCGAACGGGUGAGUAAUGCGUCGGAACGUACCGAGUAAUGGGGGAUAACGCAAGCCUGAUCCAGCCAUUCCGCGUGAGUGAAGAAGGCCUUCGGGUUGUAAAGCUCUUUCGGCAGGAACGAAACGGCGGGCUCUAACAUAGCCUGUUACUGACGGUACCUGCAGAAGAAGCACCGGCUAACUACGUGCCAGCAGCCGCGGUAAUACGUAGGGUGCGAGCGUUAAUCGGAAUUACUGGGCGUAAAGCGUGCGCAGGCGGAUUGUUAAGCAAGACGUGAAAUCCCCGGGCUUAACCUGGGAAUGGCGUUUUGAACUGGCAGUCUGGAGUGCGUCAGAGGGGGGUGGAAUUCCACGUGUAGCAGUGAAAUGCGUAGAGAUGUGGAGGAACACCGAUGGCGAAGGCAGCCCCCUGGGAUGACACUGACGCUCAUGUACGAAAGCGUGGGUAGCAAACAGGAUUAGAUACCCUGGUAGUCCACGCCCUAAACGAUGUCAACUGGUUGUUGGGGGAGUGAAAUCCCUUAGUAACGAA
rnacentral:rRNA from 1 species